rnacentral:lncRNA from 1 species
AGGGAACGUAAUGGAGAAUCCCAGUUCUUGUUCUUUUUUGAAUUUUUUUUUCAGGUUUUUUUUUUUUUUUAGUUUUUGUUUUGACAUCAUUGUACCUCAGCUCUCAUGUGCUUUCUGCCCUUGCCAGUGCCCAGUGACUGUACCACACAUGACCACAUGGCCACCUUAAGCAAACUCAAGCAAAGCUUGCCAGAGCUGAAGUUACUCAUUUUUUUUCUUCGCCGAAAUUGGGGGCCUGUACUAGAUAUCCUAAGAGAGAAAAAAUGGCAGUGCUUCAAGACUCUUAAAUAAGGGAGAUGGAGAGGCUGUCAAUGCCAAUCCAUAGACCAGACUUCUCCAACCCCGGACAUCCAAGAUUUAAAGAUCUGAAAUCAUCAGUGAUUGGAAACUACCCAGGGUAUCUUACCAGUGAUGGGAUAUCUACAGUAUGGCACCAUCUGCUACAUCCUGUAAAGCUCCCCACACUGGCAGUUUGUAGAAUGAAGAAUCUAUUGUCACAGCCUCUUCUCAGCACCAUUCAUUAUUCCAUCACAUGGCCCAUGUCUUAGUCAUUUUCUUAUUGCUGGGAAAAGAUACCCAAAAUUCACAAGUUAAAGAAGUAAAGGUUUAUUUUAGCUCACAGUUUGUAGAGGUUUCAGUCCAUAGUCAGCUGGCUCCAAGGCAAGGUGGCAUGACAGAGGGGUAUGGCAGAGGACAUGGCAGGGCAGGCAGGAAAUAGCACUCAUCAUGGGAGGCAGGGACUCUUAGUUACUUUUCUUAUUGUGAAGACAAAAUACCCACCAGCCAAAGUUAAAGGAAGAAAGGUUUAUUUCAGCUCACAGUCUGCAGAGGUUUCAGUCCAUAAUCAGCUGGCUCCAAGGCAGGAUGACAUGGCAAGGGAGCAUCACAGAAGAGAAAUGGUCCAUGG